UGUUGCUGUAUAUUAAGUAUGUAUAUGCCUGUCCCAAGUCAGGAGCCUGUAAAUCAGUGGUUGUCGUUUGUUGCUGUAUAUUAUGUAUGUAUGUGUCUGUCCCAAGUCAGGAGCCUGUAAAUCAGUGGUUGUCGUUUGUUGCUGUAUAUUAUGUAUGUAUAUGCCUGUCCCAAGUCAGGAGCCUGUAAAUCAGUGGUUGUCGUUUGUUGCUGUAUAUUAUGUAUGUAUAUGCCUGUCCCAAGUCAGGAGCCUGUAAAUCAGUGGUUGUCGUUUGUUGCUGUAUAUUAUGUAUGUAUAUGUCUGUCCCAAGUCUGGAGCCUGUAAAUCAGUGGUUGUCGUUUGUUGCUGUAUAUUAUGUAUGUAUGUGUCUGUCCCAAGUCAGGAGCCUGUAAAUCAGUGGUUGUCGUUUGUUGCUGUAUAUUAUGUAUGUAUGUGUCUGUCCCAAGUCAGGAGCCUGUAAAUCAGUGGUUGUCGUUUGUUGCUGUAUAUUAUGUAUGUAUGUGUCUGUCUCAAGUCAGGAGCCUGUAAGUCAGUGGUUGUCGUUUGUUGCUGUAUAUUAUGUAUGUAUGUGUCUGUCUCAAGUCAGGAGCCUGUAAAUCAGUGGUUGUCGUUUGUUGCUGUAUAUUAUGUAUGUAUGUGUCUGUCCCAAGUCAGGAGCCUGUAAAUUAGUGGUUGUCGUUUGUUGCUGUAUAUUAUGUAUGUAUGUGUCUGUCCCAAGUCAGGAGCCUGUAAAUCAGUGGUUGUCGUUUGUUGUUGUAUAUUAUGUAUGUAUGUGUCUGUCCCAAGUCAGGAGCCUGUAAAUCAGU